rnacentral:lncRNA from 1 species
CUUGCUACUUGAAGCCGAAACCACCCAGUUGUCUUUUGAGGAUGUCAUCUUUUUGGGUGCCAGAGCAUCGUCGUCACUCGCUUCCGCUCGGUGUAGCCUUCUUACAUCUCCACAUGAGCAAAGUCUGCCUCAGAGGGCAUGCCAGGUAGCAUCUUCAUUUGGCAUAGGAGGUGUUGAAAAUUUUCAUCGCUUUGCUCACUGAGCUGUAGUGGCGGCCAUUGGAGCUGCUCUGGGAUGCCACUCCACGGAAGGGUCUUGGAUCUUUCCAAGAGUGGCCCGACCCUCUCCAAUGGGUGUAGCCUUCUGAUCCUUUUUAAAGAUUUAUCAUGAAGGGAAUGCAUCUCCAUGAGCCGUGAGACUGGCAUCAUCGAGUCUUACCACUUUUGUCAAAUCAACCCGAUAU